GAUGAACGCUGGCGGCGUGCCUAAUACAUGCAAGUCGAGCGAACAGAUGAGGAGCUUGCUCCUCUGACGUUAGCGGCGGACGGGUGAGUAACACGUGGAUAACCUACCUAUAAGACUGGGAUAACUUCGGGAAACCGGAGCUAAUACCGGAUAAUAUAUUGAACCGCAUGGUUCAAUAGUGAAAGACGGUUUUGCUGUCACUUAUAGAUGGAUCCGCGCCGCAUUAGCUAGUUGGUAAGGUAACGGCUUACCAAGGCGACGAUGCGUAGCCGACCUGAGAGGGUGAUCGGCCACACUGGAACUGAGACACGGUCCAGACUCCUACGGGAGGCAGCAGUAGGGAAGCUUCCGCAAUGGGCGAAAGCCUGACGGAGCAACGCCGCGUGAGUGAUGAAGGUCUUCGGAUCGUAAAACUCUGUUAUUAGGGAAGAACAAAUGUGUAAGUAACUAUGCACGUCUUGACGGUACCUAAUCAGAAAGCCACGGCUAACUACGUG
rnacentral:rRNA from 1 species